UUGACGUGUGCAAGGGUCGAGCGAAGAGAGGGACGGAACCUACACAGUUACAUAUAGUUAAUAUACUGGCAAGUUCGGUGUAUUAGUAACCAAUUAACGUUAGGUAACUAGCUAACAUACCUACUGCUGUAAUGAUAUGCUAUGCGUUUUUUAAGGACAGCGUAGCCAACAUAACAUGUUGCGUAACUUAUUUGAAAAGUAAUUACUUUAUUACAUUGCUCAACAUUUUCUUAACAUUUGUCAUAAUUAGUUAAAGCAAUACAAUUCUAUCCGCUCUUGUCGAACUUCGGCUGCAUUUUUUGCCGACAUUCUUUUCAAAUCUGAAAACGUAGUGAAGCCACGCCCAUUUUAGGAAGAAUUGUAUUAUGGGCCCUAAACUCACGGAAAUAGUGUCCAAUGCUUGUAUACUUUGUAUUUUCGCGAAUGAAGUACGACACCCGGGAACUUUUGGCAUACUAACUAUAUCCUAUAAGCAUACUACAUACUCAAUUUACAUCACAAAAAAAUAGUACGGUUAGUAUGAGUAUUUGAACGCAGCUCAAAACUCUUCUCUUUGUUGUCACGGCCUUGUUUGAGUUUGCAGAGAUCUAUAUUAGUCUCAGUCAUUGGUAUGUAUGGCUGGUUACAGUAACAGUGGGAUAAACUAUAUAAGGCCAGCUGACGCUUAAACCGACUAGCAAAAGCCUAAAACUGACCCUAACCAAAUUGUUUAUACAUUCUGAAAUGAAAUAUCGAUUUGGGUGUCAGACGUGUCAUUUAUAGCCUUAACCAGUAACAGUGCAGUUACAGAAGAAGUUGAAGGACAGUUAUGUCACUGUGAUUGUUUGGUAACUCCCCUUGAUCACCACCUGGUGGACAUAUUCACGCUGCACUAAGCAGAGGGAAGGAAACUUUCAGAGCGUAGUAAAGCUGGGUGCAAGCAUUGCGGUUCAUGGGACAGUUGUGUGCUGUAGCAGCAGAACUCUUCUGAAGAGUGUCGUCAUCACUAAUCAGGCAAGCAACAUGUCUUUUGCCAGUCUGCCCAGAGGAAAGAUGGCCCUAUCGUCGUUGGGUGUGUUGACUGCAGGAGGGGCAGUAUUGCUCAGAUGCUUCACCAGACGGUGAACGCCUCAGAUCUGGAGCUUCACCCACCAUCUUACCCAUGGACUCAGUGGCAUGCUGUCAUCUCUUGAUCAUGCCAGUAUCUGACUUGGAUAUCAGGUGUACAAGCAGGUGUUUUCUGCCUGUCAUAGUAUGGAAUACAUGGCCUUCCGAAACCUUGUAGAAGUCUCGCAGACAUAGGCUGAAGUCAAGGUGCUUGCUGAAAAGGUGAGAGCAACUGACUUGUGUUACUAAAGCAUACAUUCCAAAAUAGAGUACCGUAAUUUCCGGACUAUUGAGCGCACCUGAAUAUAAGCCGCACCCACUGAAUAAU